rnacentral:rRNA from 1 species
AACGAACGCUGGCGGCAUGCCUAACACAUGCAAGUCGAACGAGACCUUCGGGUCUAGUGGCGGACGGGUGCGUAACGCGUGGGAACCUGCCCUUAGGUUCGGAAUAACUCCCCGAAAGGGGUGCUAAUACCGGAUAAUGUCUUCGGACCAAAGAUUUAUCGCCUUUGGAUGGGCCCGCGUUGGAUUAGCUAGUUGGUAGGGUAAAAGCCUACCAAGGCGACGAUCCAUAGCUGGUCUGAGAGGAUGAUCAGCCACACUGGGACUGAGACACGGCCCAGACUCCUACGGGAGGCAGCAGUGGGGAAUAUUGGACAAUGGGCGAAAGCCUGAUCCAGCAAUGCCGCGUGAGUGAUGAAGGCCUUAGGGUUGUAAAGCUCUUUUACCCGGGAUGAUAAUGACAGUACCGGGAGAAUAAGCUCCGGCUAACUCCGUG